AGAGUUUGAUUAUGGCUCAGGAUGAACGCUGGCGGCAUGCCUAACACAUGCAAGUCGAACGGGGUUUAUAUGACAGAACUCUCCGGAGGGAAGAUAUAUAAACCUAGUGGCGGACGGGUGAGUAACGCGUGGGCAACCUGCCCUGUACCGGGGGACAACAGCCAGAAAUGGCUGCUAAUACCGCAUAAGCCUGCUGUGCCGCAUGGCACAGCAGGGAAAACCACGGUGGUACAGGAUGGGCCCGCGUCUGAUUAGUUAGUUGGCAGGGUAACGGCCUACCAAGACAACGAUCAGUAGCCGGCUUGAGAGAGUGGACGGCCACAUUGGGACUGAGACACGGCCCAGACUCCUGCGGGAGGCAGCAGUGGGGAAUAUUGCACAAUGGGGGGAACCCUGAUGCAGCAAUGCCGCGUGGGUGAAGAAGCACUCCGGUGCGUAAAGCCCUGUCAGCAGGGAAGAAAAUGACAGUACCUGGACAAGAAGCCCCGGCUAACUACGUGCCAACAGCCGCGGUAAUACGUAAGGGGCAAGCGUUAUCCG
rnacentral:rRNA from 1 species